rnacentral:rRNA from 1 species
GAUGAACGCUGGCGGCGUGCUUAACACAUGCAAGUCGAGCGAGAAAAGUUCUUCGGAGCUUUUCUAGCGGCGGACGGGUGAGUAACACGUGGGCAACCUACCUCAUAGAGGGGAAUAGCCUUCCGAAAGGAAGAUUAAUACCGCAUAAUAUUGUUGAAAGGCAUCUUUUAACAAUCAAAGGAGCAAUCCGCUAUGAGAUGGGCCCGCGGCGCAUUAGCUAGUUGGUGAGGUAACGGCUCACCAAGGCGACGAUGCGUAGCCGACCUGAGAGGGUGAUCGGCCACAUUGGAACUGAGACACGGUCCAGACUCCUACGGGAGGCAGCAGUGGGGAAUAUUGCACAAUGGGGGAAACCCUGAUGCAGCAACGCCGCGUGAGUGAUGAAGGUCUUCGGAUUGUAAAGCUCUGUCUUUAGGGACGAUAAUGACGGUACCUAAGGAGGAAGCCACGGCUAACUACGUGCCAGCCGCCGCGGUAAUAC